rnacentral:lncRNA from 1 species
UCUUAGACAAGCUGUGGCCUGGCCGAGGAGGAGUAAGCUGCCCAACUGGAGCCCUCCAAUCUCUGGAUUCUGAAGUGUCUGACCAACACUCCCCCAGUUAAAUUCCCCGAAGGUUGAAGAGAUUGGAUGGACCACAUCAUCUUCCUUUUCUGCUUUAGAAUCCAGUAUGGGAGAAAACCAUUGCUAGGGAUUGGCACGAGUCGGAAGAAAAGCAUCCUGGAGCACAAAGGCAGUCUCUCUUCCUUAAAAAUGUGUCAGGAGCCCUCUAGAUUCCCUCGCUUCCCAGCAGCCCAGCCUUCUUCCUUGGGAAUCAGGUUGGCAAGGAUGUAUGCCGUCAGAUGGCUUUCUGCUGAGUGACUCAGGAGGAGGAGGAAACCAGCCUGCCGCCUUCAGAGCAUUCACAGCCCAGGGAGCUGCUGCACCCCUCUGCUGAAUAGGGCUUGAAUAGACACCCGCCGCAGGCAGACAGGUCAGCAGGGAACGGACUGCAGAGGAAGAAGGGGGAAGAGAGCGGGAGGGGAGAGAGGAAUUGGAGGGGAGGAGGAGAAGCGGAGAGGAAGGGGAGAGGCAGGGAGGCAAGGAGGAGCCACUCAAGCCUCCUCACUCUACCCUCAAAUCCCUUUGCAAAGCCAUUAUCAAAAUUGAUUUUAAUAAAUGAAAGAUUUACCUGGGUCGAACA